AAGGCGGGCACUACGUUGCUCUGCACAGAGAGUACACACCUCGUUCGAAAGGAACCGUUAAAUGCCUUCUUUAAAGCGAUAAAGCCAAAAAGAUGGUCGCCGUCACCGUCUCUCUUUGCAUACUCGCUCUUACUGGCAGUGUAUCAGCCGUUCCGUAUGAAGAUGAUCCGCAACACUUUGCUCGACAAAUUGCGAGAGAUAUGAUUGAAAUUAAUGAAAAAAUUUUUGCAAAGAGCAGAAGCACCUCCUUCGCCACUGUCGCUCCAUGUUUUGCGUUGGCUAAACUGCAGGCAGUGCGCAAUGGGUACUUUUACAACGUAUCCUACAUAUUUCCUCAACGAGUACUCAACACGUUCACUGCAAUACUAACCACUAUAGGCACCAGUCCUCAUACGGUAGCCAAUGCCGUAAAUUUCAAGGUUUUACGAGAUGGUCCCCGUAUACGUUUCAAGAUCAUGUACAUCGACCCGAGCAAGAACUGCAUUAUUCUUAUAAAGGAACCAUAUGGUCCGGAACGAC